AUUUUAUCCUGCUCAACUGCAGACAUAGGCUCUGAGCCUUCAGUACCUGUUCUCCAACUUCAGACAUGACAGCCAGAUGUUUUCUCUCCCCACCCAGACUGCUGGCAGCACACAUACCUCAGUUGGUAAAGUGGAGAGAGUACCCACGUUCAGAGGCUUUGACAGGACUCAGCAUCCAACAGCAUCUGAUGGAUCACCUAUUACAGUCUGAAGACUUUAAAUCUGUCCAAGAGUGGUUUCCAAAGCUCAGAAUGAACGAUUUUGUAAUCAGCGACCUGACUUCGAGAGCUGCUUGAUAGUACAAAAUCUCAUUAAAGAUAAAAGACUAAAAGAAAAGUAAGCCUUCCAAACAAUUUUCCAAUUAAAAUUGACUUUUCUGGGGGAAAACAGAACAAACCAACAAAAAACUGGUUAUCUGGAAAGUUGAUACUCUAAUUUCUCAAAUGCAGAAUCCUGAAACACCUGGUAUCACCAACUCCCAGCAAGAAGCAGCAUUACUGAACACUGUGGCAGAAGCCUGGAUUCUAGAAAGAUCAGGGAAAAAGAAGAAACUGCAGUAGAAACAUUUGGCUUGUCACAAUUGUUAUAUGGCACUGUAGCUGCAACUUCGUAAUGUGCAAUAAAACUGACAUGACGAGUUUUCUUUGAAAAGCACUUUGGUUCUGGAAUAAAAUCACAUGC
ensembl:lncRNA